rnacentral:rRNA from 1 species
UACGGGGUAGGACCAGCUGUUGUUCGAUUUACUGGGCGUAAAGGGCGCGUAGGCGGCGUGUUAAGUCAGCUGUGAAAUCUCCAAGCUUAACUUGGAACGGUCAGCUGAUACUGAUGUGCUAGAGUGCAGAAAGGGCAAUCGGAAUUCUUGGUGUAGCGGUGAAAUGCGUAGAUAUCAAGAGGAACACCUGAGGCGAAGGCGGGUUGCUAGGCUGACACUGACGCUGAGGCGCGAAAGCUAGGGGAGCAAACGGG